UACGUAGGGUGCAGGCGUUAAUCGGAAUUACUGGGCGUAAAGCGUGCGCAGGCGGCUUGUUAAGAGAGAUGUGAAAGCCCCGGGCUUAACCUGGGAACUGCGUUUGUAACUGGCAAGCUUGAGUGUGGCAGAGGGGGGUGGAAUUCCACGUGUAGCAGUGAAAUGCGUAGAGAUGUGGAGGAACACCGAUGGCGAAGGCAGCCCCCUGGGCUAACACUGACGCUCAUGCACGAAAGCGUGGGGAGCAAACAGG
rnacentral:rRNA from 1 species